CCACAAUAAUUUGUUUUCCAAGCAGCACUGUCUGUGAGUAGUUGUGCAACAGCUGACAUGGAAGAAAAGAGUAAAAUCUUAAUUUAAGCAUUUCUAACAAUGUUAUUCUGCUUUUUAUUUGAAGUUGUUUUUUUUGGUAUUAGUAAUACUUUGCAUUUUCUCACAAAGAAACAUCCUCUAGAAACUUCAGAAAAGGCCUCCUAGUAUACUUUAGCAAAGAAUUUAUAGAAAAACUUGGCUUGCUGCAACACACGGAACCAUGGAAUGAGUUCUCAGCAAUCACAGAGACAUUUAUGACCAAGUACAGCAGAUCCAAUAUGCUUGAAGCUCAGAUGCCUCCUGACAGCAUGACUCAUUCAAGGUCAGGCUUCUAGUGACAUCCUGAAAUGUGUUAAGCUAUAUGAUAACCAUGAAGGUGGAAAGCUUGCACUUCAGCUUGGCAAGCUUGCAUGCUGAACAAUCACAAGAAAAGAGACAGUCUGAAACUUUUAGGUAUGUAGUUCUGACCAUCUGAGGAAGGCUUUUCCUUAGAGGCAUCAAAUCUUUGGUUUUAUUCCAUGCUGUUCCUAAAUUCUCAUCCACCUCACUGGAAAAGAGCAUACAAAUUAUGCAGUCAUAAACCCACUUAUAUUUGG
rnacentral:lncRNA from 1 species